rnacentral:rRNA from 1 species
GAUGAACGCUGGCGGCAUGCCUAAUACAUGCAAGUCGAACGGUAUCUUCGGAUACAGUGGCGAACGGGUGAGUAACACGUAGGGAACCUGGCCAUGACCGGGGGAUAAUUUCUGGAAACGGAAACUAAGACCCCAUAGGAAUACAGAAGGCAUCUUGUGUAUUUUAAAGAGAGCUUAUGGCUCUGGUGAUGGAUGGACCUGCGGUGCAUUAGUUGGCUGGUAAGGUAACGGCUCACCAGGACGAUGAUGCAUAGCCGGCCUGAGAGGGCGGACGGCCACACUGGGACUGAGACACGGCCCAGACUCCUGCGGGAGGCAGCAGUAGGGAAUUUUCGUCAAUGGGGGAAACCCUGAACAAGCAAUGCCGCGUGAGUGAGGAAGGUCUUCGGAUUGUAAAGCUCUGUUGCCGGGGAAAAGAGGGAAAGAGAGGAAAUGCUCUUUUCAGGAUGGUACCCGGCCAGAAAGUCACGGCUAACUACGUGCCAGCAGCCGCGGUAAUACGUAGGUGGCAAGCGUUAUCCGGAAUGAUUGGGCGUAAAGGGUGAGCAGGCGGCCUGGACAAGUCAUGAGUGAAAGGUGGAAGCUUAACUUUCACAGGCUGAUGAUACUGACAGGCUUGAGUACAGGAGAGGGCGGCGGAACUCCAUGUGUAGCGGUAAAAUGCGUAGAUAUAUGGAAGAACACCAGUGGCGAAGGCGGCCGCCUGGACUGUAACUGACGCUGAGGCACGAAAGCGUGGGGAGCAAAUAGGAUUAGAUACCCUAGUAGUCCACGCCGUAAACGAUGAGGAGCAGGUGUCGGGGUCAGACCCGGUGCCGAAGCCAACGCAGUGACUCCUCCGCCUGGGGAGUAUGCACGCAAGUGUGAAACUCAAAGGAAUUGACGGGGGCCCGCACAAGCGGUGGAGUAUGUGGUUUAAUUCGAAGCAACGCGAAGAACCUUACCAGGCCUUGACAUGGGAUGCGAAGACUUAGAGAUAAGUUGGAGGUUAACAUCCACACAGGUGGUGCAUGGUUGUCGUCAGCUCGUGUCGUGAGAUGUUCAGUUAAGUCUGGCAACGAGCGCAACCCUUGUGAUAUGUUGCUAACAUUAAGUUGAGGACUCAUAUCAGACUGCCGGUGACAAACCGGAGGAAGGCGGGGAUGACGUCAAAUCAUCAUGCCCCUUAUGGCCUGGGCUACACACGUACUACAAUGGCGCCUGCAGCAGGAAGCGAGCCAGUGAUGGCAAGCGAAACGAGAAAGGGCGUCUCAGUUCGGAUUGAAGCCUGCAACCCGGCUUCAUGAAGAUGGAAUCGCUAGUAAUCGCGGAUCAGCAUGCCGCGGUGAAUACGUUCCCGGGCC